rnacentral:pre_miRNA from 1 species
GUUCUCCCUCUCGAAUCCUUGUUACCUGGGUGAGAAUGCUUUCAGAAUGCAAUGCACCUGGGACAAGGAUUCCAGAAGGGGAG